rnacentral:rRNA from 1 species
AUUGAACGCUGGCGGCAGGCUUAACACAUGCAAGUCGAGCGGAGAUGAGGUGCUUGCACCUUAUCUUAGCGGCGGACGGGUGAGUAAUGCUUAGGAAUCUGCCUAUUAGUGGGGGACAACAUUCCGAAAGGGAUGCUAAUACCGCAUACGUCCUACGGGAGAAAGCAGGGGAUCUUCGGACCUUGCGCUAAUAGAUGAGCCUAAGUCGGAUUAGCUAGUUGGUGGGGUAAAGGCCUACCAAGGCGACGAUCUGUAGCGGGUCUGAGAGGAUGAUCCGCCACACGGGGACUGAGACACGGCCCAGACUCCUACGGGAGGCAGCAGUGGGGAAUAUUGGACAAUGGGGGAAACCCUGAUCCAGCCAUGCCGCGUGUGUGAAGAAGGCCUUAUGGUUGUAAAGCACUUUAAGCGAGGAGGAGGCUACUGAGACUAAUACUCUUGGAUAGUGGACGUUACUCGCAGAAUAAGCACCGGCUAACUCUGUGCCAGCCGCCGCCGUAA